UUGUUAAGUUUUUCAAAGAACAAAACUGUUAGAUCUGUGGGAACAUAUCAGUGCUAGACAUCUCAAACUCUCCUAAUCAUUCAAAAAAGAGAAUCCUAAAUAGAUUUGUUAGCUAAAUAAAAACACAGUAAAGGUUGAGGCCAUGGCAGUUUCACCAAUACAUGUGGGGAGUCUGUCCCAGGCCAGGACCAAAUUAAGAGCACGCAAUCUUAGCUAUUUUAUUUCUUGAUGUUAUUUAUUUAUUUAUUUUAGGAGAUGGGAGCUGCCUGGGCACCUUUUCUUUCUAAUACUGUCCUUUUGUCUCUGAAAUCAUAAUGGUAUUCUAGUACUUUGCUUAUGUCUGGGACAAAAAGUCUUCUUACUGCUUCCCAGUCUAGCUCAAACACAAGUAUUUUUAGAA